UACAGAGACUGCAAGCGUUAUUCGGAUUUACUGGGCGUAAAGGGCGCGUAGGCGGCCACCGCAAGUCGGUUGUGAAAUCUCUGGGCUUAACCCAGAAAGGUCAACCGAUACUGCGGGGCUAGAGUGCAGAAGGGGCAACUGGAAUUCUCGGUGUAGCGGUGAAAUGCGCAGAUAUCAGGAGGAACACCGAUGGCGAAGGCAGGUCUCUGGGCCACUACUGACGCUGAGAAGCGAAAGCGUGGGGAGCGAACAGG
rnacentral:rRNA from 1 species